AAUUCUCAACCUCUCUGACUUUCACAAGUUAGUUAGGCUUGGAUUAUGGAAGUUGCUGGCUUCUCAGAAAUCAGCUCUUCUUAAAUGUAUUAGCAAAGUCUUUGUUGACUAUCUCUGGUAUGAUAAUUAUCUAUACCAUGGAGAAUCAGCUUUCCGUCAUGGAAGGGUUUUGCUUCUAAUGGUCUACACAGACAACUUGACA
rnacentral:misc_RNA from 1 species